rnacentral:rRNA from 1 species
CACGCAGGCGGUUUGCUUAGUCCUUUGUGAAAGCCCGGGGCUCAACCCCGGAAUUGCAUAGGAUACUGGCAGACUGGAGACAGGUAGAGGCUAGCGGAAUUCCUGGUGUAGCGGUGGAAUGCGUAGAUAUCAGGAAGAACACCUGUGGCGAAGGCGGCUAGCUGGGCCUGUUCUGACGCUCAUGUGCGAAAGCAUGGGGAGCAAACAGGAUUAGAUACCCUGGUAGUCC